CCUACGGGUGGCAGCAGUGGGGGAUAUUGCACAAUGGGGGAAACCCUGAUGCAGCGACGCCGCGUGUGGGAAGACGGUCCUCUGGAUUGUAAACCACUGUCCCCAGGGACGAAGAUGACGGUACCUGGGGAGAAAGCUCCGGCAAACUACGUCCCAGCAGCCGCGGAAAUACGUAGGGAGCGAGCGUUGUCGGGAAUUACUGGGUGAAAAGGGAGCGUAGGCGGAACUGAAAGUUGGGUGGAAAAUCUACCGGCUCAACCGGUAGCCGCACUUAAAACUGUAGUUCUUGAGUGAAGUAGAGGCAGGUGGAAUUCCUAGUGUAGCGGUGAAAUGCGUAGAUAUUAGGAGGAACACUAGUGGCGAAGGCGACCUGCUGGGAUUUUACUGACGCUGAGGCUCGAAAGUGUGGGGAGCAAACAGGAUUAGAUACCCCUGUAGUC
rnacentral:rRNA from 1 species